rnacentral:rRNA from 1 species
AUUGAACGCUGGCGGCAGGCCUAACACAUGCAAGUCGAGCGGAUGAAGGGAGCUUGCUCCUGGAUUCAGCGGCGGACGGGUGAGUAAUGCCUAGGAAUCUGCCUGGUAGUGGGGGAUAACGUCCGGAAACGGGCGCUAAUACCGCAUACGUCCUGAGUGAGAAAGUGGGGGAUCUUCGGACCUCACGCUAUCAGAUGAGCCUAGGUCGGAUUAGCUAGUUGGUGGGGUAAAGGCCUACCAAGGCGACGAUCCGUAACUGGUCUGAGAGGAUGAUCAGUCACACUGGAACUGAGACACGGUCCAGACUCCUACGGGAGGCAGCAGUGGGGAAUAUUGGACAAUGGGCGAAAGCCUGAUCCAGCCAUGCCGCGUGUGUGAAGAAGGUCUUCGGAUUGUAAAGCACUUUAAGUUGGGAGGAAGGGCAGUAAGUUAAUACCUUGCUGUUUUGACGUUACCAACAGAAUAAGCACCGGCUAACUUCGUG